rnacentral:rRNA from 1 species
AUGAAUCAAAGAAGGUAAUAAUCCUGUAGUCGAAAAUGUUGUCUCUCUUGAGUGGAUCCUGAGUACGACGGAGCACGUGAAAUUCCGUCGGAAUCUGGGAGGACCAUCUCCUAAGGCUAAAUACUCUCUAGUGACCGAUAGUGAACCAGUACCGUGAGGGAAAGGUGAAAAGCACCCCGGAAGGGGAGUGAAAUAGAACCUGAAACCGUGUGCUUACAAGUAGUCAGAGCCCGUUAAUGGGUGAUGGCGUGCCUUUUGUAGAAUGAACCGGCGAGUUACGAUUUGAUGCAAGGUUAAGCAGUAAAUGUGGAGCCGUAGCGAAAGCGAGUCUGAAUAGGGCGUUUAGUAUUUGGUCGUAGACCCGAAACCAGGUGAUCUACCCUUGGUCAGGUUGAAGUUCAGGUAACACUGAAUGGAGGACCGAACCGACUUACGUUGAAAAGUGAGCGGAUGAACUGAGGGUAGCGGAGAAAUUCCAAUCGAACCUGGAGAUAGCUGGUUCUCUCCGAAAUAGCUUUAGGGCUAGCCUCAAGUGAUGAUUAUUGGAGGUAGAGCACUGUUUGGACGAGGGGCCCCUCUCGGGUUACCGAAUUCAGACAAACUCCGAAUG